UACGAAGGGGGCUAGCGUUGCUCGGAAUUACUGGGCGUAAAGGGCGCGUAGGCGGACAGUUUAGUCAGAGGUGAAAGCCCAGGGCUCAACCUUGGAAUUGCCUUUGAUACUGACUGUCUUGAGUUCGGGAGAGGUGAGUGGAAUGCCGAGUGUAGAGGUGAAAUUCGUAGAUAUUCGGCGGAACACCAGUGGCGAAGGCGACUCACUGGCCCGAUACUGACGCUGAGGCGACGAAAGCGUGGGGAGCAAACAGG
rnacentral:rRNA from 1 species